AACGAACGCUGGCGGCAUGCCUAACACAUGCAAGUCGAACGAGACCUUCGGGUCUAGUGGCGCACGGGUGCGUAACGCGUGGGAACCUGCCCUUAGGUUCGGAAUAACUCCCCGAAAGGGGUGCUAAUACCGGAUAAUGUCUUCGGACCAAAGAUUUAUCGCCGUUGGAUGGGCCCGCGUUUGAUUAGCUAGUUGGUAGGGUAAAAGCCUACGAAGGCGGCGAUCCAUAGCUGGUCUGAGAGGAUGAUCAGCCAUACUGGGACUGAGAAACGGCCCAGAAUCGUACGCAAGGCAGGAAUGGGGAAGAUUGGACUAAGGAGGGAAGGCUGAUGCAGCAACGGCCAGUGACUGCUGUAGGAAUUAGGGUUGAAAGGCUCUCUUAACCGGGAGGAUCAUGACAGUACCGGGAGAAUAAGCACCGGCUAACUCCGUG
rnacentral:rRNA from 1 species